UGACAUAGCUACAUAAUUCCACCAAGCUUGAUCAAUACAUUGAUACUGAGCUGCUCUCCAGUUGGUUGUAUUUGCUGUGAUUCGACCACUUCUUGUUGUUGUAUAAACAAAGUACUGGCUUCAAUAGCAUCAUUUGCAUUUGAUAAUUUGGAUAGUUCUUAAUAUUAAUAUCUUUAUUUCUUGAAGUAGACAUGCAUGGGUUUUUGUUUGGUGGCCCAACCGUGAACAUACAAAAAAAUUGACGGCCCAUCGAAACUGCCCAAAGAUUUUCCAUGGCCCAUCUAAAAUCACUCCAGCCCACCCUAACAGUUACUUUAUGACCGGUCCCUUAUACCGUUGUUUUGUAUUUCAUUAAUAUAUUCAGUGGUUCCUGUAAUUCAAAAGAAGCAUUACAAGUUUUUUGUCUUCAUUGCAUUUUACAUUUACAAAAGCUAGUCAAUAUGUUGUUCUAUAAAGUGAGCUGCCCAUAAUAUAAAGAAAAUGUUACAUACGAAUAUCUUUAUAGUCUGCGCCAAAGCAAUCUUAUCUAAUGUUUUAUUGCACAUUAAAAAUUUAUUUGUAGAAAGAUUAAGAAAUGAGUAAGGACAGUCAAUCCGCUGCAAACGUUAAGCAACCUCAAGAGGUAAGAUAAUUUACAUAUUUAGUCAAUUGUAAGACUUCAUUUCGAGUCUGUAAUUAAAUCGUCAUGCAUUUGGCAUGCAUUGAUUCAUGUAUUGAUCCAGUGGCAGGCCCUUUUGCGAGAUGUUGGAAAGGGGGAAUUCAGAUUUCAGCCUUAUAUGACAAUUUGCUGUUGGAUCUAUUCUAGAACUACACUCGAGUGACAGACGAAUAAAGACGAGUAACAGAUGACUACACACGAAUAACAGACGACUACAGACGAGUAACAGACGACUACAAACGACUACAGACGAGUAAAGGCUAUCUCUAAAAUAGGAAACGGGGAAUGGGGGUGAUGCUAUAACUUCAUUAACUUAUGACACGCAUAGUGUUUCGGAG